ensembl:lncRNA
CUUUUAUUAUGGUUCUGCUGAGAGGAUCUGAAGUUUGACAUUUGUAUGCUGCACUCACAGCUCCCUUUCUCCUAUGCUAGUUAUUUUUAUCAUUAUUUUGGUUCUUAGGACAAAAUUGCAUUCUGCUCAUCUGGAAAGCUCUUCCGCCUCUAAAUCCUGCGUGUUCGCCUUAUGCUCAGCCCUGUGGCAAAUACAAGAGCUCUCUUGAUUUAAUUUUCAAACACAAAGGUCCAUUAAAUCAAAGUGUUGCUUUCCAGAUCCCAUGGCUCUCAGCUGCGCAUCCAAGCCUCCAUCUCUCCCUCUGGGUGUUUCAGCUCUGCCUGAUGUCUCCUGAGCCCAGGGCUGGCUAGUCACAACAGGACUUCGAGCCCAUAUUUUGGGGUGUUUUUGGAGGUUUCACCUUCUCUUGCCUGUGGGAACUCCAUUAUGUCCUUCCACGUCAUCUCAGAGCUGCAGCCAAGAGCAUCACUUGCUGGCCACCCUGUGGGAGCUGCUUGGGGGCCCAGAGCACCUGGGGAGGGACGGAGCUGGGCUUUGAGAGCAAAAGGAUCUGGUGUUCCCAUGGACAGCACGCUGGGAUGCAGGGUUGCUCCUGCCCUUCUCAUGGCAAGGUGAGGUUGGGGAUGCAUGGAUUGGUGAGCAGGUGGAUGGGAGGGUACAGAUGCCAGGAUCUGCCCAGGGUGCAGCUCAGUUUGGGGAAGGGUUGAAAGGUUCAGCAUGGGGACAAAUCUUGUGUUUCCAGCUCUGAGGACUCCCAUGCCAGCAGCACCCAGGUGCUGUGUGUGAGGAGAAGGGAGACCCAUGAGUACCCCCUUCCUCGUGGGUGUGUAGGGUGGAUGGCAUGGGAGGAAGGGGCUGGGGCCAUCCCAGGGCUGCCACCACUGCAGCCUAACGCCUGGCCUGAAUUUGAGCACAAGGGGCUGCUCUGGCUGAAAUGUCACAGCUCUGACCAUGUCCGUGUUUCUGAGAUGAAACAUCUACUGUUUCUAAGCAAUGGUGGUUGAAAAGGCUGCAAACAACAACUGUUGGCAUUGGAGCCAUGGAGAUGGAGGGGACUGAGCAUCCUAAGCUUUCCAUAGCAGAGGGGAGCAGCAAGGUGCAGCUCCUGAUGGCUCCCAUGGUGGAGACAUCUGCUACGGAAAGUCACCUCCUUGGGACCCCUCCAGCCAUGCUCCACUGCUGCUGUCUCCCACCCUGUCCCCUUGGGUGCAGGCACCACAGCGUCAGCAAAGCCCAGUCCCUCCGUGGGAGCAUCCCUCCCUGGGAAGGACCUGGCCUGCUUCAGUCCCUCCACUGCAGGGGAGCACUGCUGGUCCCUGGGCAGCUCCACGGAAGGACGCUGCUCCUCCCUUAGUGGCGUGGAACAAGCUGUGGAUUAGCUCUCCCUGCGGAGCGUUUCAGGUUGCUGGUUUUCUGUACCAGCCUGUGGCUGCACAGUGUGUAAUUCAUGAUCAAUUUACUUGAAGUUAAAAUACAAAGGAAGGGAGGAAAAGGGGAAAAAAAAAAGGGCUUUCAGCUUAGCAGCUGGUACUGCCUCAAUAGCUGCCACUGUGGGCGAUCAAACUACACUUCACAAUCCAAUAUCUGACGUUAUUUCUUAGCCUCACUUGGUUCAGUUUCACCUCCAUCCUGGACAAAUAUUGACAAAGCUCUCAUAAUCCCGCUGGUGCCGUUGCAGAGAACUCUAUUUUGCUUGCAGCACACUUGGAGCCAUCUCAGUAUCCCCACUGGGAGCCGAGAGAGGAGCAUGAAUUUAGAUUCAAAGGGGAUGAGUGGCAGCUUACAGACCCCCUGCAGCCCAGGUGUCCUCCACGAGCAAAGCUGGCUUCAGGCUGUGAUGUUCUGAGCUUGAGCCCGAGGCUUAGGGUAAGACAAGAAGGUCUCCACUUGUUGCUGCUUAUGCACAAGAUAGCUCUGGGUGCAUGCAUGGUGCUCGUGCUGAGCUGGUGUCUUGUUCAUCACCAGUCGGUGUUCAGACUGUGUUGGCUGUCCCUUGGGUACCCGGGGUACCAUGAUUGACUGUGUCCUUCUGGGGUGUUGGUCUGUGCCCCAAUGAGUAGAGCUGGGCCAGAACUUGGGUCAUGGAGGAAAAAUCCCAGCACUCGGAUGGGAAAACCCAGCUCUGCUGCAGGGAACACUGCACCCCUGAGCGCCUCAGCAAAGCUCCAAGCAAUCAUGAAAACACAGAAUGGUUGGGUUAGGAGGGGCUUCAAAAAUCAUCCAGUUCCAGCCCCUUGCCUUGGCAGGAAUGCAAAGGGUCCUUCUCACCCAGGGUGGUCACCAUCGUGUCACCCACUGCCACCCCAUGUCCCACUGCAGGUCUGCAGCAGGAUGGGGGCAUUGUCCCCAGUGCUUCUGCCAUCAGCCUCUUGCACCUUGCCCUCACCCACCUCCAUUCGAAACGGGGGUUCUCAUGCAAUGAGGCAGCUGGGUUUCACAUUGACCACAUCGGUAGCACUGUCACCAUCCAGGGAUCAGUGCUGGGGCGCAGAGAUGGAUGUGCUGAGCUGGGGAUGAUGGAUGGGAGCGUGGAUGGCAGCGGGGCAGCAGUGGAAGGGAAAACUGAUCAGAUCGACUGCUUAAUGGCUUCAUAACGUCAGGGUCUUGUUGGCAGCGCCUGGCAGCUCAUUUUUAAUGACAGCAUUCCUGAGCUCAACCCCAGAGUGCAGCUGCCUGGGAAGCCUGAAACUCAGAGAGCAGCUCUGAGGCUGGAAGCGAGCUGAUGUGAGUCAAACAGUGCUCCUUUUUGUGGCAUCACAUGGACUUGGCCCCACGGAGAGAGCCUCUUGAUCCACCUCUGUCCUGCCCCGAUGGGGCACAGUGUUAUUUAGCACAGAAUGGUUGGGAUGAGAGGGACCUUCAUGAUCAUCCAACCCUACCUGUGGGCAGGGGUGCCUCCCCCAGCUCAGGCUGCCCAGGGCCCCUCCAUGGCCUCGGGCACCUCCAGGAAUGGGGCACCCACAGCUCUGGGCAGCAGUGCCAGCGCUGUGCUGCCCUCAGAGUGAAAAGUAUCUUCUAUAUAUCCAAACCUUCCCUUCUCCAGGCUGAACACCCCUUGCUCCCUCAGCCUGUCUCCAUAGGAGAAGUGCUCCAGCUCUGAGAGCAUCCCUGUGUCCCCCUCCGGCCCCGCUCUGACAGCCCCAAACCUUUCAGCAGUUCAGGUGGGCUCUCAGUUGUUCUUUCUAAGGCCAGCAGCCGCUGGGACCGCACAGCGUUGGCUGCAGGGAAGUCUUCAGCAUGGCGGUGUGCAGCAAUCCAUACUAAUUAAGACAAAUCUAAUUACCCAGGCUGCAACUCAUGCUUAACGAAUUAGAACCAGAACAUGGCAAACACAGAGAGGGAGGCGUGCUGCCAAGGUGGAGUGGUGCGCCCAGAAGCCUGCUUGGAGGAGAAGGGUUCUGGGGAAGGCAGGGCUCAAUGGCACUGUUCUGCUGGGCGUCAGCAUCAGAGGAACCUCUGAUUGUGUGACGGAGUUGUAACAGUACAGAUCUGCACAGUAAGGAGAGCUGGUGCCAAACUGUGCUCCCGGGGGAGGGAAUGUCCCUUCCCCCUUACGUUCUUAAUAUAUCCAUUACGAUUAAUAUUGUGACCGAGGAAAUACUCUUAUUACAAAUAGAUGGUGAUGGCAGAGCUGCAGAAUUAAGUGGUGCUGGGCGCCACUUAUCUGAUUAGCGGGUGCUUUCAGCAGGGCCAUUAUCCUGAUGUGUUACACCUCCCAUCACACCGACAUCAGGCUGGCUGUGUGUGAGGGGAUGAGCGAGAAGUGUUGGGCACAACCCUUGUUCCGCUGGGAAGUCCAUCUCCCAUUGCCUGGUGGACCAGGGGGCUCAAUUAGAGCCUCCCAGCAGUAAUUGAGUUGAGGACGGGGUGGGGUGAGGAGCCCACAUGUGGCCGCUAUGAGACCUCACUGAGACUGAUGGGCACAUCCUGCUCAGGCACCACCAGGCAACACUUUGGCCAUGCCCACGCUGGGCUGUGUUGUGUGACAGAGGCACCGCUGUCCCUCUUUCACCCCUCACUGCUGCCCCUCCUCUCCCACCCCCUCCGCUGCUCCUCGUGGUGCUGCCGCUGCUGGAGGGCUCCUCGCAGCAGCUCCCAAUUAAGACCUACUUAAAAUUCAAAUGCAAAUAAAUUUUUAAUUACCUUAAUUAGAAUUAUUCUCUUGUUAGAGCUGAAGGAUGGGGUCCGAAGAGCAGAAAGGGCGGGAUGUGCCUGGCCACGUUGGAGGGGACCGAGGCAGCACCUGCAGGUUUGGAGCUGGAGCUCAGCAGCCUUUGCACCUCGGUGGGCAAAAUCCACCUACGUGGCAGGUGCAGAUAUUGCAGCUCCAGGUAUGGCCAAGGCUGGAGGCAAGGAAUUGCUUCCAGCAGCCCCUGGAAUAUCACUGCUGUGCCCUCCGUGUUUCUGCUCUCUUCCCCCGGUUGCUGCCUUUGGAAGCUUCCAAUAGAUUUCUCUAAAUUAAAAAUAAUUUACCCUUUAAAACCAGCAGGUGAGGGAAGAACCCGCCGUGUGCAGCGCUGCAGCUUAUUGCCCCGUGUGUUUGUGCUGCUGGCAGCACGCUUCUCAGCUGUGCACACGGAAUGACUUAUGCCAUCACUGCCACUGGUAGCAAUCCAGCCUGGAAUAAUGAAACAGCCAUGGCGCCCAUGAUUUAUUAAUUAGUGCCAAAGGAUUUAUGCAGGUAAGGGCC